rnacentral:rRNA from 1 species
AACGAACGCUGGCGGCAUGCCUAACACAUGCAAGUCGAACGAGACCUUCGGGUCUAGUGGCGCACGGGUGCGUAACGCGUGGGAACCUGCCCUUAGGUUCGGAAUAACUCCCCGAAAGGGGUGCUAAUACCGGAUAAUGUCUUCGGACCAAAGAUUUAUCGCCUUUGGAUGGGCCCGCGUUGGAUUAGCUAGUUGGUAGGGUAAAAGCCUACCAAGGCGACGAUCCAUAGCUGGUCUGAGAGGAUGAUCAGCCACACUGGGACUGAGACGCGGCCCAGACUCCUACGGGAGGCAGCAGUGGGGAAUAUUGGACGAUGGGCGAAAGCCUGAUCCAGCAAUGCCGCGUGAGUGAUGAAGGCCUUAGGGUUGUAAAGCUCUUUUACCCGGGAUGAUAAUGACAGUACCGGGAGAAUAAGCUCCGGCUAACUCCGUG